UACGUAGGGUGCAAGCGUUAAUCGGAAUUACUGGGCGUAAAGCGUGCGCAGGCGGUUUGUUAAGACAGAUGUGAAAUCCCCGGGCUUAACCUGGGAACUGCAUUGGUGACUGCAUUGCUGGAGUAUGGCAGAGGGGGGUGGAAUUCCACGUGUAGCAGUGAAAUGCGUAGAGAUGUGGAGGAACACCGAUGGCGAAGGCAGCCCCCUGGGCCAAUACUGACGCUCAUGCACGAAAGCGUGGGGAGCAAACAGG
rnacentral:rRNA from 1 species